UAGCCGUAAACGAAUACUCGCUAGGUGUCGGCCACGGUGCGACCGUUGUCGGUGCCGUAGGGAAGCCGUGAAGCGAGCCACCUGGGAAGUACGGCCGCAAGGCUGAAACUUAAAGGAAUUGGCGGGGGAGCACAACAACGGGUGGAGCUUGCGGUUUAAUUGGAUUCAACGCCGGAAAUCUUACCGGGACCGACAGCAACAUGAAGGCCAAGCUGAAGACUUUGCCGGAUUAGCUGAGAGGUGGUGCAUGGCGUAGUCGUGU
rnacentral:rRNA from 1 species